ACUCCUACGGGAGGCAGCAGUGGGGAAUCUUGCGCAAUGGACGAAAGUCUGACGCAGCAACGCCGCGUGAGGGACGAAGGCUUUCGAGUUGUAAACCUCUUUCGACAGGAACGAUUGUGACGGUACCUGUAGAAGAAGCACCGGCCAACUAUGUGCCAGCAGCCGCGGUGAUACAUAGGGUGCAAGCGUUAUUCGGAUUUAUUGGGCGUAAAGAGCUCGUAGGCGGUUCGACAAGUCGGGUGUUAAACCCCCAGGCUCAACCUGGGGCCGCCACCCGAAACUGUCGUACUAGAGUUUGGUAGGGGAUCACGGAAUUCCUGGUGUAGCGGUGGAAUGCGCAGAUAUCAGGAGGAACACCAGUAGCGAAGGCGGUGAUCUGGGCCAAUACUGACGCUGAGGAGCGAAAGCGUGGGGAGCGAACAGGAUUAGAUACCCUGGUAGUCCACGCCGUAAACGGUGGGCACUAGGUGUGGGGACUUUUCAACGGUUUCCGCGCCGCAGCUAACGCAUUAAGUGCCCCGCCUGGGGAGUACGGUCGCAAGACUAAAACUCAAAGAAAUUGACGGGGGCCCGCACAAGCAGCGGAGCAUGUGGCUUAAUUCGAUGCAACGCGAAAAACCUUACCUAGAUUUGACAUGCUGGGAAAAGCCACAGAGAUGUGGUGUCCUUCGGGGCUCAGCACAGGUGGUGCAUGGCUGUCGUCAGCUCGUGUCGUGAGAUGUUGGGUUAAGUCCCGCAACGAGCGCAACCCUUGUUCUAUGUUGCCAGCACGUAAUGGUGGGGACUCGUAGAAGACUGCCGGGGUCAACUCGGA
rnacentral:rRNA from 1 species